rnacentral:rRNA from 2 species
UGGGGUGACCGCGUACCUUUUGUAUAAUGGGUCAGCGACUUAAUGUUAGUAGCAAGGUUAACCGCAUAGGGGAGCCGUAGGGAAACCGAGUCUUAACUGGGCGAGUAGUUGCUAGCAUUAGACCCGAAACCGAGUGAUCUAGCCAUGGGCAGGUUGAAGGUUGAGUAACAUCAACUGGAGGACCGAACUCACUAACGUUGAAAAGUUAGGAGAUGACCUGUGGCUAGGGGUGAAAGGCCAAUCAAACUCGGAGAUAGCUGGUUCUCCCCGAAAGCUAUUUAGGUAGCGCCUCGGACGAAUACUACUGGGGGUAGAGCACUGUUAAGGCUAGGGGGUCAUCCCGACUUACCAACCCUUUGCAAACUCCGAAUACCAGUAAGUACUAUCCGGGAGACACACGGCGGGUGCUAACGUCCGUCGUGGAGAGGGAAACAACCCAGACCGCCAGCUAAGGUCCCCAAGUUAUCGCUAAGUGGGAAACGAUGUGGGAAGGCUCAGACAGCCAGGAUGUUGGCUUAGAAGCAGCCAUCAUUUAAAGAAAGCGUAAUAGCUCACUGGUCGAGUCGGCCUGCGCGGAAGAUGUAACGGGGCUAAGCGAUACACCGAAGCUGCGGCAAUGUCCUUAUGGAUAUUGGGUAGGGGAGCGUUGUGUAAGCUGUUGAAGGUGUGCUGAGAAGCAUGCUGGAGGUAUCACAAGUGCGAAUGCUGACAUGAGUAACGAUAAAGGGGGUGAAAAACCUCCUCGCCGGAAGACCAAGGGUUCCUGUCCAACGUUAAUCGGGGCAGGGUAAGUCGGCCCCUAAGGCGAGGCCGAAAGGCGUAGUCGAUGGGAAACGGGUUAAUAUUCCCGUACUGCUGCUUACUGCGAUGGGGGGACGGAGAAGGCUAGGUGGGCCUGGCGAUGGUAGUCCAGGUUCAAGUGCGUAGGCUGAUUUCUUAGGCAAAUCCGGGAAAUCAAGGCCGAGACACGAUGUCGAGCCACCAAGGUGGUGAAGUCAUUGAUGCCAUGCUUCCGGGAAAAGCCUCUAAGCUUCAGGUAAGUAGCAACCGUACUCCAAACCGACACAGGUGGUCGGGUAGAGAAUACCAAGGCGCUUGAGAGAACUCGGGUGAAGGAACUAGGCAAAAUGGUACCGUAACUUCGGGAGAAGGUACGCUGCCCGCGGUGAAGUCCCUUGCGGAUGGAGCUAUGGGCAGUCGCAGAUACCAGGUGGCUGCAACUGUUUAUUAAAAACACAGCACUGUGCAAAAUCGAAAGAUGACGUAUACGGUGUGACGCCUGCCCGGUGCCGGAAGGUUAAUUGAUGUGGUUAUCGCAAGAGAAGCCAUUGAUUGAAGCCCCGGUAAACGGCGGCCGUAACUAUAACGGUCCUAAGGUAGCGAAAUUCCUUGUCGGGUAAGUUCCGACCUGCACGAAUGGCGUAAUGAUGGCCACGCUGUCUCCACCCGAGACUCAGUGAAAUUGAAAUCGCAGUGAAGAUGCUGUGUACCCGCGGCUAGACGGAAAGACCCCGUGAACCUUUACUACAGCUUGGCACUGAACAUUGAGCCUACAUGUGUAGGAUAGGUGGGAGGCUUUGAAGCGGCGACGCCAGUUGCUGUGGAGCCAUCCUUGAAAUACCACCCUUGUAUGUUUGAUGUUCUAACUUAGCCCCCUUAUCGGGGGUGAGGACAGUGCCUGGUGGGUAGUUUGACUGGGGCGGUCUCCUCCCAAAGCGUAACGGAGGAGCACGAAGGUGGGCUAAUCACGGUCGGACAUCGUGAGGUUAGUGCAAUGGCAUAAGCCCGCUUAACUGCGAGAGUGACGGCUCGAGCAGGUACGAAAGUAGGUCAUAGUGAUCCGG